GUGGGAUUACAAAUUUAUAAAAUGUUCAAUCUAGGUUCCAAUGUAAUAGCAUAUGAACUGAAAACGUUUUGAUAUACAUUUUGAGGUAAAUCAGGAAAAUCAGGUGUCUGAGAUAAUGUCCUUUUGUCUUUGUGCUCUUCCUUGCCAUUUGGCUUUUUAAGCUCAAGGCACAGCUGUGCCUUUUGUCUCUAUGAUAAUGUGAAGGUAUCAGCGAUACUGUCAGGCACCUCUGUAUUUAAAUGACACUGUUAUGCUGACAAGAUCAAAGAUGGGAAAAUGGCCAAUAUCAGGCUGAUCCCUGUAUUGCAUUUGCAUGCUUUGUUUAGGUUGUCUCCACCUCUGUGUAUCCCACCCCCUUAAAAUGUAUAAAAACUACAAUGUCUUAAGGACAAGUUAGACUUUUGAUGACUGCAGCGCCAGGCAGAGCAUUCUCAAUAAAGAAUCCUGCUGAAGAUUA